UACGGAGGGGGCUAGCGUUGUUCGGAAUUACUGGGCGUAAAGCGCACGUAGGCGGCUUUGUAAGUUAGAGGUGAAAGCCCGGGGCUCAACUCCGGAAUUGCCUUUAAGACUGCAUCGCUGGAACGUCGGAGAGGUAAGUGGAAUUCCGAGUGUAGAGGUGAAAUUCGUAGAUAUGGGGCGGAACACCGGUGGCGAAGGCGGCCAUCUGGACGGCUAUUGACGCUGAGACGCGAAAGCAUGGGGAGCAAACAGG
rnacentral:rRNA from 1 species